rnacentral:rRNA from 1 species
AGUGAACGCUGGCGGUAGGCCUAACACAUGCAAGUCGAACGGCAGCACAGUAAGAGCUUGCUCUUACGGGUGGCGAGUGGCGGACGGGUGAGGAAUACAUCGGAAUCUACUUUUUCGUGGGGGAUAACGUAGGGAAACUUACGCUAAUACCGCAUACGACCUACGGGUGAAAGCAGGGGAUCUUCGGACCUUGCGCGAUUGAAUGAGCCGAUGUCGGAUUAGCUAGUUGGCGGGGUAAAGGCCCACCAAGGCGACGAUCCGUAGCUGGUCUGAGAGGAUGAUCAGCCACACUGGAACUGAGACACGGUCCAGACUCCUACGGGAGGCAGCAGUGGGGAAUAUUGGACAAUGGGCGCAAGCCUGAUCCAGCCAUACCGCGUGGGUGAAGAAGGCCUUCGGGUUGUAAAGCCCUUUUGUUGGGAAAGAAAAGCAGCAGGUUAAGACCCCGCUGUUCUGACGGUACCCAAAGAAUAAGCACCGGCUAACUUAGU